CUCUUUUUCUUAAACUCUUUCAGGUCUCUUAAGAAUUUUGUCUGAAAACUUUAUAUCUUGGAAAAAUUUGGCUGACUUAGCUACUCAUGAUGAACUGAAACAUAGAAGUCGGGGUCACAGCAAAGCAGAACUCACCCAGAUGGUUCAGAUGAAAAAUCUUUCUUAAUGAAGAUGUAAAACCAAAGAGGAUGUCCAGAACCACGGAUGUGGGGCUGCCUUGAUAGAGAUUAAAGCAGUUUUUCUACUGAAUGAAUGAGAAGAAAGAGGAAGAAGGAGGAGGAGGAGGAAAGGGAGGAAGAGGAAGAGGAGACCAGGAGUACUUUACGAAUCUUUUUUCUCCAGAUGCUAUGUUAACUUCUAAAACAAAUUUAUGGAAGACGGCUGAAUGAAACAGCUCUGGAGUGCAUUCCCGUGAGAACACAGAGGGAGGAUACCCCAAGAAGACAGCUGUCUGCAAACCAGGAAGAAGCCCUUUACUAGACACUGGAUCUGCUGGUGCCUUGAGCUUGAACUUCCUAGCCUAAAACUGAAAGAAAGGUGAUUACCAGCUGAAUGACAAUUGAGUUAAACAAGUCUGCAUUGGAGAGCCAGCUGCUGAAAUCUGACAUUAUAACUACUACUUACAGUGGCAUUUCUGAGGAGGAACUUACAGAUAAUCAUUGAACUCACAUCCUUUGGUACAUUUCCAUGCAAGAAGGACAAGGGUACAAACAGCAGG
rnacentral:lncRNA from 13 species